AAAUGUAAUGCUAUAAUAAUUCAUGUUCCAAUUUGUACACCACUUUAAUAUUAUUUGCCAAGACUAAUUCUCAAUCUCGUUUUGUGCAUUGGAAAAGAACCAACAGAGCGAAAAGCUUAUCAUGAGCACAAACCCUUAGGCACUCUUCUUUACUCGAUGGAUCGCUUCUGAUCGUUUUCGGUAAAAUCAGUUUUAAAUAUUUUUUGCUCCACUCUCUCUCUCUUGAGUUCCAAGAUGAUGAGCGCCUACCUGAUAUUUGCAUAUUGCGCUUCUAAUUUCUGCAUAGGGAAUGCUGGGUUAGUAGCUGCUAUUGAACGUUAAACCUAUAGAAAUUCUUUGUUCAAAUUUAUUGCGCAGUAGAGUUUAAACAAUGACUAGGGCGAUGAGUCCUCUGAAAGAAGAACAUCACUUGAGUCUUGAUCUACGAUCAGUGCGGAUGUGCCUAACUGAAAGUUAAUACGACGCUAGUGGAAGUUAUUAAGAAUUCGAUAGUGAUAAUUUGAGAACGUUAUUAAUCCGGAAGUGCGAAGAUUACACAAAUUAAGAAUCGAAUAGUGAGCCUUCCGAGAUUGUUAUCACACCUGAUUGUGUGCUGUAAUUAAUUUACUGUGGUAAAUUUUGAGGAAUAACCCUACAACGUGGGGUUUUUGUUUGGGCUCGGACCAUUGACAACCGCCAACCGUCGUCGACCACGUGCAACUAGUCCAGGCGUAUCCCGGUGCGCCGCUGCGGUGGCUCGUGAGUACUCACUGCAGUGUCGUUCUAUCCCAGAAUCCGACCGAGUGCUAGAACGCAACCAAACUGCUCGAUAUCCGCCGAGGACUCAAUUUUGAAUUUCGGUGUCAAGCCAAAACGAUCACCGACCAGCACCCGACGUCCCUACAGUGGUGCUAGGCGUCGUCAUCCCGAGGCGCAAGAGAGCUUUGGACACGCGUCGUGAGAGUACUUUGUGGUCGCUGGACAAAUCAAACCAAACGAAAGUGGUAAGUUGCACCCAACUACGUUGGUCGA